GCAGCUGGAGACAUACACCAAGGAACUUGAUGAAAUGCAGAAGGUGUCCAAGGAAGAAUACUUGGCUUCAUUGCGCCGCCGGAGCAGUGGGUUUUCUAGAGGCGUUUCAAAGUAUCGUGGGGUGGCUAGGCAUCACCAUAAUGGGCGAUGGGAGGCGCGAAUUGGGAGAGUUUUCGGAAACAAGUAUUUGUACCUGGGAACUUACACUUAUAUUUGAUUUGGAUUUUUCUGAACAACAAGAUGCUGCCAACUUGUGUGCUGAGCUAGAUGCCAAUUUCAAAACCUUUAGUUCAGUCAAUGCACAUACGUGGCUGCUAUAUUUCCAGUCUGGUCCAAAACAUUAUAUAUUACAUGUCAAAAUGAAACUGUCCGCUGCAUGAAAAAACACAGCUUUUCUAAUAUUUGAAUUUUGUUCUUAUUUCACUUACGCAUUUGAAAAUAAAAUU